rnacentral:rRNA from 1 species
CCUACGGGAGGCAGCAGUGAGGAAUAUUGGUCAAUGGACGAGAGUCUGAACCAGCCAAGUAGCGUGAAGGAUGACUGCCCUAUGGGUUGUAAACUUCUUUUAUAUGGGAAUAAAAUGUUCCACGUGUGGGAUUUUGUAUGUACCAUAUGAAUAAGGAUCGGCUAACUCCGUGCCAGCAGCCGCGGUAAUACGGAGGAUCCGAGUGUUAUCCGGAUUUAUUGGGUUUAAAGGGAGCGUAGGUGGAUUGUUAAGUUAGUUGUGAAAGUUUGCGGCUCAACCGUAAAAUUGCAGUUGAAACUGGCAGUCUUGAGUACAGUAGAGGUGGGCGGAAUUCGUGGUGUAGCGGUGAAAUGCUUAGAUAUCACGAAGAACUCCGAUUGCGAAGGCAGUUCACUGGACUGCAACUGACACUGAGGCUCGAAAGUGUGGGUAUCAAACAGGAUUAGAUACCCCUGUAGUC